GGGCUUAACUGUCUCCCCCCUCCAGUCAGUGAAAUUGAUCUAUCCGUGCAGAAGCGGGUAUAACACUACAAGACGAGAAGACCCUUUGGAGCUUAAGGUACAAAAUUCAGCCAUGUUAAGCGACUUCAUAGAAAGCAAGAACUUAAUGGCCAUGAAGUUUUACCUUCGGUUGGGGCGACCACGGAGGAAAAGCAAGCCUCCGAGUGGACUGGGCCAAGACCCCUAAAGCCAAAAGAGACAUCUUUAAGCCGCAGAACAUCUGACCAAUAAUGAUCCGGCUAAAAAGCCGAUCAACGGACCAAGUUACCCUAGGGAUAACAGCGCAAUCCUCUCCCAGAGCCCAUAUCGACGAGGGGGUUUACGACCUCGAUGUUGGAUCAGGACAUCCUGGUGGUGCAGCCGCUAUUAAGGGUUCGUUUGUUCAACGAUUAAAGUCCUACGUGAUCUGAGUUCAGACCGGAGCAAUCCAGGUCAGUUUCUAUCUGUAACGCUACUUUUCCUAGUACGAAAGGAUCGGAAAAGAGGGGCCUAUGCCUAACGCAUGCCCCACCCCUAAUUCAUGAAAACAAAUAAAUAAAAUAAGGGAGGGCCAAAACCCCUGCCGCC
rnacentral:rRNA from 1 species